rnacentral:rRNA from 1 species
CACACCGCCCGUCACACCAUGGGAGUGGGUUGCACCAGAAGUAGCUAGUCUAACCUUCGGGAGGACGAUUACCACGGUGUGAUUCAUGACUGGGGUG